GUAACCUCGUGAAGAGUGUCAUUGGAUAUAUAAGGAACACACAACACGCGCACAGGCUCAGUUGUGCGUGAACUCUCAUACCGCGAAGAUCGAAGGCCGAAAGAUGAUCGCCAAACACGCGUUCAAGAAGCAACGUCAACGUUAAGAGUAUGUGUACAGGCGGAUUAUGGGGUCAAUUCGCUCUACUUACACUGAUUUACCGUCAUUCGAACAUCGACUCGAGGAAUGGAAGGAAUGCGCGAUGCACUGGUCGAGUUUCAGGUGUAAUAACGAUCACAGAAUGGUCUACGUCGACAAACCACCGGCUAAAAUGGCAGUAAUCGCGGCGAUGCCAAGAUUCGC
rnacentral:lncRNA from 1 species